rnacentral:lncRNA from 1 species
CAUAAACAGACACUGCAAGAAAGAAAAAUUGCAGAAGAAUUUUCAAGGAUCAAACUAACUCAACACUGACAACUGCUUGCAAGAUUGCAUAUACCACAUGUGCAAACAUGAAACACCAAAUGAAAAGCACAGAUAAAGAAACAUUGAAAAAGAGAAAAGAAAAGAAAAUGAAAAUCAAAGAGACAGCAUAAACAUGUAACAACAGUUGCCCUACAGCAAGAAACACAGUAACAGUUGAUGUGUUGCUUAAUCACCAAAAAAACACAAGUUAGGACAUCAACACAACUGAGCUCAAAUGAAUAAUUUGGGACCAAAAAGUAUUGCAAAGUUUCCUUGCAAUUUUUGCUGUAUACAGGCAAAAAUUUCCCACUUGCAGCAUCAAAGUUCCAAUUACAUCAUGCAACGGAACUAAAAUGCAGCCCAUACAUUGCGAAACUGCAGUAACAUCAGUGACAAGAAUAUUCUGAAAAAGGCUACUACACGACAAGUUUACACACAAAGGCAUUGCAUCCCUUUCACAUCACAUUCUCAAACUCUUGAUUCAUAACAGCUCUCUGUAGUGUCUCCAAACAUCUUUGGUAUUUCCACCCAUUUAUGUUCAUAAUGCCCAAUCUUCAUAACGUCAGGCAAAAUUUUAUUUGCCUUCCUAAAAGCAUGUACUGAAGUUUUUGCAGGUGGAUGUCUAAAUAUUCAUUUAUAGAUUUGUCUGUCGCCAUUCUUUCAGAUAAUAGGUAAAAUACACUCUCUGCAGAAGUUCAUCCACAAUAGAUGGAUGAUAUUAAAAGGUCAAGAUUUUAGCUAGACUGUUU